rnacentral:rRNA from 1 species
GACGUAGGGGGCAAGCGUUGUCCGGAAUUAUUGGGCGUAAAGCGCGCGCAGGCGGCCUUUUAAGUCUGAUGUGAAAGCCCACGGCUCAACCGUGGAAGGUCAUUGGAAACUGAAAGGCUUGAGUACAGAAGAGGAAAGCGGAAUUCCACGUGUAGCGGUGAAAUGCGUAGAGAUGUGGAGGAACACCAGUGGCGAAGGCGGCUUACUGGUCUGUAACUGACGCUGAGGCGCGAAAGCGUGGGGAGCAAACAGG